GUUUACUUAUCUUAAAUGUUUGUUUUCAAGUUGUUUUAUUUUUUUUCUUGUUGACUUUCAGUUUGUUACAGUUAAUAUUGGCUUCUUUCUCAAUUUUUGAAAAGACAGCAUUUAAGCACAAAAUUGUGGCAGGCACAAACAAGAUUAAAUCAGCUGGGUCUGGUGCUUUCAUGGUCUGCUAGAAUUACACUUCUGGAUAGUAUCCAGGCAACAUCUGAGAAAUUGAUUGCUGAGAACUUAAAGAAGAAUCCAUUGAUAAAAGUUACUGGAGACAAUCUGGAUAUAUAUGUGAAAACAUCUCACCUGAGUAAGGACAGACAGCAUAAAGAUUUACAUUUAUUCACAAGUUACAUCAUAUUCAGCAGAGUGGCAACUGUUGACAUGAGCAAUGUUGCUGCAUGCUUAUGGUGUACUGCUUUCAAGAAUACUAUGCAAAAUGCCUUCAUUCAGACAGUCCAAGAAACCUUUUCCCAAUCAUCUACCUCAUGAAUUCAGUGAGAAGAUGUCUAGAAAGUCUGUGGUCCAUCAACUACCAAUCAUGUUCAAAAACGAAUCCAAACAUGA
rnacentral:lncRNA from 1 species